rnacentral:rRNA from 1 species
CUAAAAACCUAGCCUAACAAACUCCCCACUACAUAUGCAUACAGUAAUCUGCUAAAAUAUUUUAACAUUCAAGUAAGGACGACUAAAAAACUCUUAAGCGCCAUAAUAAAGUACCGCAAGGGAAAAGUGAAAUAAUAAUGAAAUACCACAAAAGCACAAAAAAGUAAAGAUUAUAGCUUGUACCUUUUGCAUCAUGGUUUAACUAGUUUAAUCAAGCAAAAAGAUUUUUAGUCCGACCCCCCGAAACUAAAUGAGCUACUUCAAGGCAGCUUACUGAGCUAACCCGUUCCUGUUGCAAAAGGCUGGGGUGACCUUGCAGUAGAGGUGAUAGACCUAACGAAUUUAGUGAUAGCUGGUUACUCAAGAAAAGAAUCUUAGUCCAACCUAAAGCUAACCCAUAAAAUCUACUACUACUUUAGAGCAAUUCAAAUAAGGUACAGCCUAUUUGACACAGGACACAACCUCCAACAACGGCUAACCCGUAAACACUUAAACUAAGUAGGCUUGAAAGCAGCCACCUUAAAAAAGCGUCAUAGCUUAAUUUUACUUAUUCCAAAUCCCACAACUUACUAAGAACCCUUCAUCCGUAUUGAGUACUUCUAUACUGCUAUAGAAAUUUUUAUGUUAAAACUAGUAACAAGAAGACACUUCUCUUUUAAUGCAAGCAUAAAUCAGAACGGAUCAUCCACUGAUACUUACACACCCUAGCAGCAAACCCAUACUCUCGAAAAACCUGCCUUUAUUCUCGUUAACCUAACACAAGAGCAUUUCAAGAAAGAUUUUAAAAAAAAGAAGGAACUCGGCAAAUAUUGAUUCCGCCUGUUUACCAAAAACAUCGCCUCUUGGAUAAAGAUAAGAGGUCCGACCUGCCCAGUGAUAUUAAUUCAACGGCCGCGGUAUAUUGACCGCGCUAAGGUAGCACAAUCACUUGUCUCUUAAAUGGGGACUAGUAUGAAAGGACCCACGAGAAUCUGACUGUCUCCUUUCUUUAAUCCGUGAAACUAAUCUCCCUGUGAAAAAGCAGGGAUCACUAUAUAAGACGAGAAGACCCUAUGGAGCUUUAGAUAAAACAAUACUUUCUUUUUCUAAACCACUUUCAGAAGAAUACCCUCAAGACAUUUUAUUGCCAAUCUUCGGUUGGGGUGACCACGGAGUAAAACUAAUCCUCCACGCCAGAUGGAAUUUUCCAUGACAAAGAGCUACAGUUCUAUGAACCAAAAAAUUGACAAUUGACCCAAUAUUUGAUCAACGAAACAAGUUACCCUAGGGAUAACAGCGCAAUCUACUUCAAGAGUCCCUAUUGACAAGUGGGUUUACGACCUCGAUGUUGGAUCAGGGUGUCCAAGUGGUGCAGCCGCUACUAAAGGUUUGUGUGUUCAACAAUUAAAACCCUACGUGAUCUGAGUUCAGACCGGAGCAAUCCAGGUCAGCUUCUAUCUAUAAAGAGCUUUUUCUAGUACGAAAGGACCGUAACAGCACAACCCAUGCAACCUGCAAGUUAUAUUCAAUAAGUUAUGAUAAUUCUUA